GGAUGUGAGGGCGAUCUGGCUGCGACAUCUGUCACCCCAUUGAUCGCCAGGGUUGAUUCGGCUGAUCUGGCUGGCUAGGCGGGUGUCCCCUUCCUCCCUCACCGCUCCAUGUGCGUCCCUCCCGAAGCUGCGCGCUCGGUCGAAGAGGACGACCUUCCCCGAUAGAGGAGAGGACCGUCCAUCGGUCAAGGGUAUACGAGUAGCUGCGCUCCCCUGCUAGAACCUCCAAACAAGCUCUCAAGGUCCAUUUGUAGGAGAACGUAGGGUAGUCAAGCUUCCAAGACUCCAGACACAUCCAAAUGAGGCGCUGCACGUGGCAGUCUGCCUUCCUUU
rnacentral:snRNA from 12 species